rnacentral:rRNA from 1 species
CCUACGGGGGACAGCAGUGGGGAAUAUUGGGCAAUGGAGGAAACUCUGACCCAGCAACGCCGCGUGCAUGAUGAAGGUCUUCGGAUUGUAAAGUUCUUUUCUAAGGGAAGAAGAAAGUGACGGUACCUUAGUUAUAAGCCUCGGCUAACUACGGGCCAGCAGCCGCGGAAAUACGUAGGAGGAAAGCGUUAUCCGGAAUGACUGGGCGGAAAGGGUGCGGUGGUGGUUUGAUAAGUUGGUAGCGUAACUCCGAGGGUCAACCUCGGCACUACUACGGAAACUAUCGGACUUGAGUGCAGGAGGGGCAAGUGGAAUUCCAAGUGUAGCGGUGGAAUGCGUAGAUAUUAGGAAGAACACCAGAGGCGAAGGCGAGUUACUGGACUGAAACUGACGCUGAGGGACGAAAGCGUGGGGAGCAAACAGGAUUAGAUACCCGAGUAGUC